UACGGAGGGGCUAGCGUUGUUCGGAAUUACUGGGCGUAAAGCGCACGUAGGCGGACUGUUAAGUCGGGGGUGAAAUCCUGGGGCUCAACCUCAGAAUUGCCUCCGAUACUGGCAGUCUCGAGUGCGGGAGAGGUGAGUGGAAUUCCCAGUGUAGAGGUGAAAUUCGUAGAUAUUCGCAAGAACACCAGUGGCGAAGGCGGCUCACUGGCCCGGUACUGACGCUGAGGUGCGAAAGCGUGGGGAGCAAACGGG
rnacentral:rRNA from 1 species